rnacentral:lncRNA from 7 species
AGGUGUGAGGUUGAAGCACUUUCAGUGGAGCUAACACCAUGAGUGGAGAAAGACAUUGCAGGAUGCUUCAAGCAAGGGAGGAAUCUGAACAGUGGCAAUCUUGCAAACAGGCUGUCUGGACACUGGAACACAGACGUCCAUAAAUCCCAGCCACGCUUUACUUUGACAGGACAAACCAGGGCCAUACCAGAAUGAAACAGAAGUAAGCUGAACUUGCAGUAAAUUGUGGAUCUGUUCUUUCACAUGUUAACUUCUUCAAAUAACUUCAUAUUUUUUAUGCUGAUGAUGCUGUAUUCUUCAUCACCAUAAAUCAUUGCUUUAUGCUGAUGACACUGUUUAUCUAUCACCAUUAAUCAUCUGUAAUGCUUGAGAAGGAAAUGUUAGUGAAGAAUAAAAUUUAUUAAACAUCAACCAGUGGGUGGCCUGAAAAGGUGGAUUACCUGCAGACCAAACAGGACCACGAUAAUGUAAUGAUCCAGAGAGCACCAGGCUUGUGGGUUGGGAAUGGGAGCCGUCAGCAGAGGCAAACAGCACUGGGACAGGCCAGAAGGAGCAGAGAUGAUGAUGCAGUGGGUGGAAGCCAUGAGAGGCCAGAUGCAGCGCAGGUGCCAGCGAGGAGCAGGCGGUGUGGGAUGGAGCUGUCCUCUGGAAAGGUCAUGGCACGUUUUGGGAGCAACACAGUUCUGGUCAGCGGUGCUCCAAGAUGCUUUGGGAAACUGUGGUUGAAAUAGAUGGUACUUGAAAUGUAACUUUUCUUCCCUUGAGGUCUCCCUGCUCUUUGGAAGCACGGAAUGCCUUUUGAUAUUUCCCUUGUCUGAUCGGAGAGUCAUCAGCUUUUGCAAAUCAGGGAAAGUUGAAUGGCAGCAAAGACUGACAAAACAAAUGCCUCAAGCCAUAGGUAUUACUAAGAGAGUGUUCCAGACCUGAGCUCGGAUCUUGAUCCAAUGUUUGAUUGGAUAAUGUCUGUGCUAUAAACUUUAAAGACCACG